UCCCAACAGACCCUGCUCCACUACCUCUCCUCUCUCUCGUACCAGAAAAGACAAAAAAAGAAAAUAGAUAAAUGGGAACGUUACUCUCUCACUCUCAGACCACUAUUCACUCUCUCAAAAAAAAGACAAUCUCUCAAUUUCCUCUCAACUCUGAGCUCACACAAUCCCCUUCCUCUCUCGCCCCAAAUCUCUCACUCUCAAUUCUCAGCUGAAACUCUCACCGACAAACCCUCCUCUCUAAAAUCCGCCGCCACCACCUUCUACCACCACUAAACACUCACCAACCGUCAACCCUCCGAAUCCUUCAUCAUCUUCGUCAUCGCAACUCAACCGUUCACCGCCACCCAAAACCCCUACCGUCGCGGCGACUUCCACCUUCAAACCCUUAAACCACCUUCGAAACACCGUCAAAACCGCCGUCGCUCUCACCGGCAAACUCUCUCCAUCUACCUUCAAAUCGCGCCCUCACCGACAAACCCACACGAAACCUACUCAUCUCACAAUCUCCAAGCCGUCACCAUCCAUCAUCGCUUCCGUCCACAAUCGCGACCCAUCUUCACCGCUAAAACCUAAUCUCUAAAUCCGCCGUCAUCACCGUACCGAAGCCGUCGGUGACUUGUCAGUUCGCAACUAUCUUCGACCUUCAUCAACAGUUUGGGAUUGUGUUGUGUAAUUUUUCUGUUUUUUCAGGGAAAGUCUGAAGCUUUAGAGCCAUGGGUCCAGCACCGGUGACGAUUACAACUAGCCUCUGUUGAUAGCUUCAAAAGGAUUUUCUUAUGAUUCUGGAAACGGUUUCAAGUCGCGCUGAUUCCUCUUCUUCCGCAACAACCACAAAGACCGUUAUUACUCUACCACUCUCAGCACGGCGUCGAAACCGCUUCUUGUCCACAUUAAAGCAAGCCGGGCAGAUUGUUGAAACACCAUGGAUACGGGGAUUGGGUGGAAGAUCUCAGGCUGUUGCUGAUGAUGUACUCCUGAAAUAAGCUCUUGACAACUAUCCGUCUGUACGGUAACAGAUCGAUUUAAGCUUAUUUUAGAAUUAUGAUUGUUUCAUGACAGUAUUUGAUAUCUCUGGAUAAUGUGUGUGUUUGUGAUUUUUAUCUUCCGAUUCGUUCUGGUGGUAGAUGGUAUCAACAUAUUUUAUGCUGAAAAUUUCGUUGAGGAUUGUAAAUUUUUUCUCUGAAUAUUGUUACUCUGUGUCGUUACUGUUUCGUUUUGUGUUGAUACUACAAUAGCCCUGUAUAUAAUCACAAUUUGCGGUGACAUACUUUGAUACCAUUUUUAUUGUACAUAUUCAACUCUUGAUUAUGACUUGUUUUAGCUAUAUCAAAAGGAUUUGUUUUGUAUUGCCUGUGAAGUUUAUAGUUGCUUGUAGUAUCUCGUUCAUUUUUCAUUUGAAUUGAGAUUUGGAUUAUGAAUACCAACGUGCUUGCUUAUACACAACUUAUGCGACUUUCAGUUUGGAUUAUAUUUGGGAAGAUAUUUUAAGUGGGAACUGUAUUAAAAUUCUGCUCUUGAAUUAUUAGAUUAGUUUGUGGAUGGAUCACUAUUGUUGGUGCAAAUGAGUUAUUAGCCCACGGCAUUAUCAGAAUUCUAAUAAUCUCAUGAUUGGUUUACAACGAUUUUCUCAAAUGCAUGUUGUUUUUAUUGCUGAAAUUUAAAUUGGAUUAUCAAUUGCCUAAUGGACUUUAUAGUGUAUAUAUAAGUCUACUUUAAUCAUAAGGCAUNAGUUCCUUCCUUGAAAACACAAACUUUAGAACCUACCCUUGGGAAUUUCUAGUAAUCAGAAAAACCCGUAUUUCUUCCUGUUAUCCUGACGUACCCGACGUGUGAAUAAUCUUAAGUCUGUAUUCCUUUGCAAAAAACAUGGCAAAAUUUCAUGCAUUUGCAUAUCAUCAACAUGCAUUGCAUAUCAUCUCCCAGAAACAAAAUCUCACACCAUGUUCUGCCCUUUGUCCAGUAAACGCUGACUACUCGACACCGGUACGAGACACGCCGCAAUUACAAGAUGACACUUGAACAGCUUGAAGCUAACCAAGUUUCGAUGAGGACCGACAUUGACUCCAUGCAGGCAAAGAUGGAUCGCUUGCUUGAGACCAUGUUACUCUUGGCUCAGAAGGAGAAGGAUGCUGAGACUAACGCCGAAGCCAGGAAAAUUGCUGCCCAAUUUGGAUCACCAUCGCUCAGUAUCCCUGGAGUGAUUGACCUUGAUGGUAACCCUAAUCAGCCUAGAGAAGGACCGAUCCCUAUUCCGAUCCCAAUGGACAAUAUAAAACCCCACGAGCAUUCUACUGUAUCUGCUCGACACGGAUCUGUGAUAUGUGAUGAAGAUCCAUAUGACGCUUUCUUCAUGCCACAGCCCGUCCAGCCUGCUGUUGGAGGUCUCCCAGACCCAGCUGUUGACAGACUCCAUGCGUUGGAGGAAAAGUUUAAGUCCUUGGAGGUUCACACUACUCCCGGUUUGGACGCCGUCGAUAUGUGCUUGGUGCCAGGCCUUGUGAUUCCACAGAAGUUCAAAGUCCCGGACUUUGACAAGUACAAAGGGAUCAGCUGCCCAAGAACACACCUCAGAGCUUACUGCCGCAAAAUGGCCGCCCACAUCAGUAAUGAUCAACUCCUGAUUCAUUACUUCCAAGAUAGUCUCAGUGGGGCAUCUUUGGAGUGGUACAUGCAACUGGAGAGAGGACAGGUCCAAUCAUGGAGAGACCUUGCUGAAGCAUUCCUCAGGCAUUAUCAGUACAACACUGAUCUAGCACCCAAUCGCACCCAACUGCAAGACAUGACUCAACGCAACAAUGAGUCAUUCAAAGAAUACGCCCAGCGGUGGAGAGAGCUAGCAGCUCGUGUUCAACCUCCUCUCUUUGACAAAGAGCUAAUUGACAUGUUUAUGGGAACCCUACACACCCAGUACAUGGAGAAGAUGGUAGGAUCCAGUUUCCCAACUUUUGCUGAGGUCGUCUCCGUGGGAGAACGAAUCGAGAGCCAGAUCAAGAAGGGGAAACUACCUUGCGCUGCUAAUGCUUCAAGUGGGAUGAAGAAACCUUAUCCUAAUCUCCCAAAGAAGCCAGAAGGUCAAACCAAUUCCAUAAUGGGAGGAGGAGGAUAUAGGGCACGCCCGUAUGCUCCUAUGCCUUAUAAUCAGGUUGCCGCUGUCGUCCCGACACCAUAUCAGCCUCCAUAUCAGCAACCCCAUCAACAACAAUAUCAACAGCCUUAUCAACAAACAGCUUAUCAGCAUCAGAAUCAACAUCGACGUGCUCCACAACCACGUCCCCCCAAUCAGCAGAGGGCAAGGAGGCCAGAAAGGCAUUUCGAUCCUUUGCCAGUAUCAUAUAGCAAGAUCCUCCCCUACCUGCUAAAGGAUGGAUCGGUCGUUCUGAAGGAGAUAACACCUGUAACUCCACCAUAUCCUCCAGGCUACGACGCCAAUGCUCACUGUGAGUAUCACAUGGGUGCUCCAGGGCACACAAUAGAGAACUGUAAGGCUUUCAAGCACAAGGUUCAAGAUUUGGUUGACAGUAAAGCACUUACAUUCACGCCAGUGAGGCCAAACGUUGCAACAAACCCCAUGCCGGCGCAUGCAGAAUCAAGUGAAGCUCGAAGGUAAAGCUUCCCACCGGCCUAAACAAGCAGAGCAAUUCCGCUGAAGAACCCAGAGAUGAAGGCUUGUUCAUUUGAAUGAAGGCAAUCCUGAUGCCAUUUUUACCAUUUUGCAUUCUUGUAAUUUGAUCUUGUUUGUCUAAGUACUGUACGCUUUAAACAUUGUUAUUUGUAUUUGGUUUUGUUAAUGGGAUGGUUAUGCAUGCUUUGAAUCAAUCUUUCNGGAUGAAACCCUGCUGAUGAUGUACAGGCAUUGUUUCAAAUCCCCAAACACUGGAGAGAUAAGGAGUUAAUCCCUAGUCAACCACUUCGAGCCUAGAAGUAGGAGUUUCUUUCAGAUCUAAAAAACCUUUACGCUUAACCUGGGGCAGGGUAGUGUUCAGUUAACCUGACUACACAUACAAAUUACAAAGGUGAAGUAUCCCAUACGAGGAUCAACCAUAUGACACUCUUCACACACAUCAUGAAGUGUCGAAGGAACCAUACAAAUCCAGAAUCUAUGUCGGUUGUUCUUCAAUGACCAAUGUCCUGGCAGUCACAAUUAAAAAAAAGGUCGAAGAAAGAGCCCGCUAAGUCGAACACCCUAAAAGGAGACUUAGGCAAAAAACAGGGGCAAUCCCGAUGGAUUAAAGCUUCAAACAAAGCGGUCCAUGCAAAAGUUAGGGAUCAAAACAAAAAAUCGAAAGAGACAAUGAAAGUCCUCAACAAAAGCAAAACAAGAUUCAGUGACCACCAUACCAAAAUCAAAGGGUCGCCGACAUCCAAAAAAACGAAAUAAGGUGGCUGCCAUUCCAAGGGACUUUGAACCACCAUCUUUAUCCUUACACAUGCAAGAGAAGAAUGUGUGUGAAUUAACUGAACAUAGGAUUGGAGAUCAUCAUGAAGAAGGGGUGGGUUAAAAUAAACUUUGAGCCUUAUAUCCUUUUGUUUCAAAACCAUCGACCAACACAGCAACGCCUCAAAAGACCAAGUUGAGUAGUGGUUUAUUCUGAAAGCAUACAUACAAGUUAGUAACUGACUCCUAAAUAUUUUCCAAUAUUCUCCUCUCACUAUAUCACUCACACACUAGCUAAAUCAAGCACCGCGUUUGGACACAUGAUCCACUCGCCACACACUACCACAACACUUCCCAAAUGAAUGAUUAUUUUUCAAAACUUGCAUAACUGUUGCAUUAACAUCACCAUUUCGUAGAUAACAAUUCUUAAUUGUCAGUCAGUGCUUGACAUCGGAAAAUUCCAACAAGGAGUAAUUCAACGGGCACUUGAUUGUUGGUGCUGACACGAAUCCAGACCAUCCUGUGAAUCAGGGGCAUGGCAUCUUUUGAUCAUAUUGACCUAAGAAGUAGUCUGUGUAAGACAAAUCUCCAAGCAUCGGUUGAUCAGGGAGAAAAACACUUCAGUACUCGGCCCGUCUGAAGCAGGUCCCUCAAAGGCUAAUCAGGGGCAGACCAUAGCCAGAUUUGGACAUCAGGAAACAAACUCAGACCAUGUCAUGGGAUAAUCACUCCUAAGGUUUCUUGCAGGGAGAAUUCCUUUGAACACCCUACAAACAGGGGCAAGACAAGUUGCAAGGGGCAAAAUUCCCUUCAUAUCUUCAAGACAGUCAGGCAGAUUGCGUCAAACAUUAGUGACUGCUUGAAUUCACAACCAAAAUGUCAAAAGUUCGUACCAGUACAACAUCAUGCCUUGACAAGAAUCCUUGAGGCACGUCAAAAGCACAAUCAUCAUGCGCUGAUCACGUCGCUAUGCUCAGUUACAAGCUGGCCAAACACUUCAGAAGAAGAAACCAAGAUCUUCUCAAAGACAAAUACUCAACAUAUCAGCAAGAGAUCAAACCUGGGGCACCAAGAGUAUCCACAUCCAUUUCGUGUUCAUCAUAUCAUCAACUACUGAGUGUCGGGAAUGUCAGAUCCUUUCACCAAUCAAUAGCAUAUCCACAUUGACAAUUACCAAAAAAACCUAAAGCCCACAUUGUUGGCACCCACAUAAAACCAAAUAUAACCAACUUUGGUUUCCAGAAGAUGCAUUGCCUUUGAAAGGGGGGCCAAUCCCAAACAAACCAAUCAUUCUUUGCAUACAAACAUGCAUUUCAUGCAUCAUAUGCAUCACCUCAUACAUAAUACAUACAUAUCAUUCAUGUACAUAACACAAAUCAAGAUCCAAGGUUUAGUCGUAGGCAUACAGGCCAACCCUCAGUUGAGUCGUUAUUUUUCUCUGAGUGAGUUCCUACCCUACUAUCGGGCGUUCCCCAUUGAGUUACAUCCUUCAACCUUUUGUUGAUAAGAUGUUAUCCUCAGCUUAGUCAAACAAUGUUUCUUUAAACACCUAUUUUUUUUUUCACGUUGAGCGUCCCUCAAUGAGUCGUUUCCCAUAACCUUUUGUUGACAGAAAUUACAUCUCCCCAGAGAACAUUGGCUCUGCAACCUUUUGUUGUUGAUACCCCCAAGCAAGUCUUACCCAAUAAUGUCCCAAUACUACCCAACAAAUCGGGUUUACUGGACUUUGACAGUAGCCUUAUUUUUCCAAUAUUUUUCUCACUACCAUCCUUUUGGUGAAAGUCCAUGGAGGAAUAAUACCAGUCAUCACCUUGUUUAUGAUCACCGUUAUCCUUUUGGUAAUGGUAAAUUCUUGACAUUUGUGAUCUUACUGUCAUCCUUUUGGUGUCGAAGAUCAUUGAAGUUUUAAGCUAACCUUCAUCCUUUUGAAUCACCUUGUUUAUGAUCACCGUUAUCCUUUUGGUAAUGGUAAAUUCUUGACAUUUGUGAUCUUACUGUCAUCCUUUUGGUGUCGAAGAUCAUUGAAGUUUUAAGCUAACCUUCAUCCUUUUGGUGAUGGUGACCUCUGCAAUUAUUACACCCCACUGUCAUCCUUUUGGUGUCAGUAAUAUUUGAAGUCAUUAUAACUUAUUAUCAUCCUUUUGGUGGUAACGAGUUUCGAAGUUAUGAUUCCACCUUCAUCCUUUUGGUGAUGGUGAUUGUUGAUUCAUUAUCAUCCUUUUGGUGAUAACGAGUUCUGUUGUUUGUAGCGCCUUCAUCCUUUUGGUGAUGGUGACUAUUGACUUAUUAUCAUCCUUUUGGUGGUAACAAGUUUUGUCGUUUUAACAAUACCUUCAUCCUUUUGGUGAUGGUGAGUGUUGACUUCUUAUCAUCCUUUUGGUGAUAACAAGUUUGUGUCUUGAUCUUACCUUCAUCCUUUUGGUGAUGGCGAUCAUUUGUGUUGUCAGCUUAUUAUCAUCCUUUUGGUGGUAACUAAGUUUUGUCGUUUGACAAAUACCUUCAUCCUUUUGGUGAUGGUGAUUGUUGACUUCUUAUCAUCCUUUUGGUGAUAACAAGUUUGUGUUUUGAUCUUACCUUCAUCCUUUUGGUGAUGGUGAUCAUUUGCGUGUGUGCUUCUUAUCAUCCUUUUGGUGGUAACAAGUUUUAUCUUUUGAUUAUACCUUCAUCCUUUUGGUGAUGGUGGUUAUCAUCCUUUUGGUGAUAACAAGUUUGUGUCUUGAUCCUACCUUCAUCCUUUUGGUGAUGGUGAUCAAUUGUGUUGUGUUCUUAUUAUCAUCCUUUUGGUGAUAACAAGUUUGUGUCCUGAUUAUACCUUCAUCCUUUUGGUGAUGGUGAUUAUUGAAGUUAUCUGACUUAUUAUCAUCCUUUUGGUGAUAACAAGCUUUGUUGUUGGAUCUUACCUUCAUCCUUUUGGUGACGGUGAUCUUUGAAGUUUAUGAGUUAACUAUCAUCCUUUUGGUGAUAGCCUUGAUCCUAUACUCUCAGUAAUGGAAAAAUUUACCAGAAUGACCAUCAUCCUUUUGGUGAUAGAAAUCUGUGAAUUGUGUCUAACUUUCAUCCUUUAGGUGAUAGCGAGAUUUGUUGUUGAUCUGACCAUCAUCCUUUUGGUGAUGGCGAUCUUUGUUGCACCCACUGUAACCAUUAUCCUUUUGGUGAUGACUACCUUAAAAGCUCAGCUUAUCCAUCAUCCUUUUGGUGAUGACAAUCCUCAAAAUCAUGGUGAAUCUCUGUCAUCCUUUUGGUGUCAGAAAACCAGUCCCACCUUUGUCUUCACAUCAGAAAUAACCUGUGCCAGAUUUGAAUGUUGACUCGAGGGUUGGCAUUGAUCGAACAUCCUACCCCCAUUACCUUGGCAUCCAUUGCAUUUUCAUCUGCAUCUCUCCAUUGCAUUUCAAAGGACAAAAUUUGGAUCCUUUAGUAUUUAAUUACCUUCCACCACGAAUGUAUGAUGACCUUUAUCAUUCUUACUUUCUAGUUCAAGAUAAUUAAAUAGGGGCAGCUGUCGUACCCCAAUUUUGUCCGGGCAUUUUUAAUUUUUUCAAAAUUAAUUUCAGUUUCAUUUUUGCAUCAUACGCAUAGCAUGACAUACAUUUGCAUCAUGAAUAAACACCUAAAAUGUCAGUCAGAAGGAAUUUAUUUGAGAAUACAGAAAAAAUCGGUUGAAUCGUUAAAAUUUGAGAAAAGACUGUAUUUUUAAUAAGUAGGUUUUGUGCUGACAAUUUUAAUGUGACUGGUUUAUUUAUUAUUAUUAUUUUUUUUAUUUUUUUAUUUUCUUUCUUUUUUCGAAUUAAAUUUGUACUCGAUUUUUUUUAAUUGGUCAAAUAUUAGUUAGAGUUUUUUUUUAAAUAUUAUUUAAUUAAAUAUUAGUUAAUGUUUUUUAUAUUAAUUAGUUUUUUUAUAUUAGUUAGAUUUUUUCUAAAAUAGUAGUUAAUUUUAGUUUUUAAAUAUUAAUUAGUUUGUUUAGUUAGAUUUUGUAAAAUAUUAGUUAGAGUAUUUUUUUUUUAAUAUUAAUUAGUUUUUCUAAAUAUUAGUUAGUUUUUAAAUAUUAGUUAGAUUUUUCUUUUUAAUAUUAAUUAGUUUUUUUUAGUGUUAAUUAGUUUAAGAGUUAGUUAGCUUUUUUAUUAGUUAAUUUUUAAAUAGUAGUUAGUUAGAGUUUUUAAAAUAUUAAUUAGUUUUUUUAUUUUUUAUGAAUAUAUGUAUUUUACAUUGGAUUCCAAUCCAUAAAAAAACAAAAAAAACAAAAUCUCCCAACGUCUCUCUCCAUCCACUCCCAACAGACCCUGCUCCACUACCUCUCCUCUCUCUCGUACCAGAAAAGACAAAAAAAGAAAAUAGAUAAAUGGGAACGUUACUCUCUCACUCUCAGACCACUAUUCACUCUCUCAAAAAAAAGACAAUCUCUCAAUUUCCUCUCAACUCUGAGCUCACACAAUCCCCUUCCUCUCUCGCCCCAAAUCUCUCACUCUCAAUUCUCAGCUGAAACUCUCACCGACAAACCCUCCUCUCUAAAAUCCGCCGCCACCACCUUCUACCACCACUAAACACUCACCAACCGUCAACCCUCCGAAUCCUUCAUCAUCUUCGUCAUCGCAACUCAACCGUUCACCGCCACCCAAAACCCCUACCGUCGCGGCGACUUCCACCUUCAAACCCUUAAACCACCUUCGAAACACCGUCAAAACCGCCGUCGCUCUCACCGGCAAACUCUCUCCAUCUACCUUCAAAUCGCGCCCUCACCGACAAACCCACACGAAACCUACUCAUCUCACAAUCUCCAAGCCGUCACCAUCCAUCAUCGCUUCCGUCCACAAUCGCGACCCAUCUUCACCGCUAAAACCUAAUCUCUAAAUCCGCCGUCAUCACCGUACCGAAGCCGUCGGUGACUUGUCAGUUCGCAACUAUCUUCGAC
rnacentral:lncRNA from 1 species